rnacentral:rRNA from 1 species
UACGUAGGGUGCGAGCGUUUGUCCGGAAUUAUUGGGCGUAAAGGGCUCGUAGGCGGUUUGUCGCGUCGGGAGUGAAAACCAGGUGCUUAACACCUGGCUUGCUUUCGAUACGGGCAGACUAGAGGCAUGCAGGGGAGAACGGAAUUCCCGGUGUAGCGGUGAAAUGCGUAGAUAUCGGGAAGAACACCAGUGGCGAAAGCGCUCUACUGGGCCAUAACUGACACUGAGGGACGAAAGCUAGGGGAGCGAAAGGG